GAUGAACGCUGGCGGCGUGCCUAAUACAUGCAAGUCGAGCGAACAGACUAGGAGCUUGCUCCUCUUUCGUUAGCGGCGGACGGGUGAGUAACACGUGGAUAACCUACCUAUAAGACUGGGAUAACUUCGGGAAACCGGAGCUAAUACCGGAUAAUAUAUUUAACCGCAUGGUUCAAUAGUGAAAGACGGUUUUGCUGUCACUUAUAGAUGUAUCCGCGCCGCAUUAGCUAUUUGGUAAGGUAACGGCUUACCAAGGCAACGAUGCGUAGCCGACCUGAGAGGGUAAUCGGCAAAAUGGGAACUGAGACACGGUCAAGACUCCUACGGGAGGAAGAAGUAGGGAAUCUUCCGAAAUGGGCGAAAGCCUGACGGAGAAACGCCGCGUGAGUGAUGAAGGUCUUGGGAUCGUAAAACUCUGUUAUUAGGGAAGAACAAAUGUGUAAGUAACUAUGCACGUCUUGACGGUACCUAAUCAGAAAGCCACGGCUAACUACGUG
rnacentral:rRNA from 1 species